rnacentral:rRNA from 1 species
AGUAGGUUAAUUAAGAGCUUAUGGGGAAUGCCUAGGCUCACAGAGGCGAUGAAGGACGUGAUAAGCUGCGAUAAGCUGCGGGGAAUGGCACAUACAUGUUGAUCCGCAGAUUUCCGAAUGGGGCAACCCAGCAUGUUGAAGACAUGUUACCCGACUUUGUCGGGAGCAAACUCAGGGAACUGAAACAUCUAAGUACCUGAAGGAAGAGAAAACAAAAGUGAUUCCGUUAGUAGCGGCGAGCGAACGCGGAACAGCCCAAACCAGUGUUGUUACGGCAAUACUGGGGUUGUAGRACCACGACAUUUGAUGCUUGAUGAAUUGGAAUCCUCUGGAAAGUGAACCAUAGCGGGUGGUAGUCCCGUAC